GCCACGUGACACAAGAAAAAUUGAUCUCUUCAGACCUCUUUUCGUUUCGGAGCAGUCAUUGGUGAUAUGUGAAUGUGUCUUGCACGUUCAACCUGUGACAGAGGACUUGACCCAUGGAGGGCAUGCAAAUAUUGCAAGAGGACCUGUCAGAGUUAUGGAAAUGAAAGGGAAUACUACAGGGCAAUGACAGGAAGAAACUACAACUACGUGCGACUGUAUGUGUGAAUCUCACGUGUUGGAC